rnacentral:rRNA from 1 species
UACGUAGGGUGCAAGCGUUGUCCGGAAUUAUUGGGCGUAAAGGGCUCGUAGGCGGUCCAUCGCGUCGGGAGUGAAAAGCUGGGGCUUAACCCCAGUCCUGCUUCCGAUACGGGUGGACUAGAGGUAGGUAGGGGAGAACGGAAUUCCUGGUGUAGCGGUGAAAUGCGCAGAUAUCAGGAGGAACACCGGUGGCGAAGGCGGCUCUCUGGGGCGGUACUGACGCUGAGACGCGAAAGCGUGGGGAGCGAACAGG